UGGGGAAUUUUCCGCAAUGGGCGAAAGCCUGACGGAGCAAGACCGCGUGAGGGAGGAAGGCCUAUUGGUUGUAGACCUCUUUUGAUAGGGAAGAACACAAUGAUGGUACCUAUCGAAUCAGCAUCGGCUAACUCCGUGCCAGCAGCCGCGGUAAUACGGAGGAUGCAAGCGUUAUCCGGAUUUAUUGGGCGUAAAGCGUCCGUAGGUGGUGAGCCAAGUCAGUUGUUAAAGCGUAGAGCUUAACUCUAUAAAGGCAAUUGAAACUGGUUUGCUAGAGUGCGACAGGGGCAAGGGGAAUUCCCAGUGUAGCGGCGAAAUGCGUAGAUAUUGGGAAGAACAUCGGUGGCGAAAGCGCCUUGCUGGGUCUGCACUGACACUGAGGGACGAAAGCUAGGGGAGCGAAAGGG
rnacentral:rRNA from 1 species